rnacentral:rRNA from 1 species
UACGGGGGGGGCAAGCGUUGUUCGGAAUUACUGGGCGUAAAGGGCUCGUAGGUGGCCAACUAAGUCAGACGUGAAAUCCCUCGGCUUAACCGGGGAACUGCGUCUGAUACUGGAUGGCUUGAGUGUGGGAGAGGGAUGCGGAAUUCCAGGUGUAGCGGUGAAAUGCGUAGAUAUCUGGAGGAACACCGGUGGCGAAGGCGGCAUCCUGGACCACGACUGACGCUGAGACACGAAAGCGUGGGUAGCAAACAGG